GGACUACAGGGGUUUCUAAUCCUGUUCGCUCCCCACGCUUUCGCUCCUCAGCGUCAGGUAAGGCCCAGAGAACCGCCUUCGCCACCGGUGUUCCUCCCGAUAUCUGCGCAUUUCACCGCUACACCGGGAAUUCCAUUCUCCCCUACCUACCUCUAGUCUGCCCGUAUCCACUGCAAGCUGGGGGUUAAGCCCCCAGUUUUCACAGCAGACGUAACAAACCGCCUACGAGCUCUUUACGCCCAAUGAUUCCGGACAACGCUUGCGCCCUACGUGUUACCGCGGCUGCUGGCAC
rnacentral:rRNA from 1 species